rnacentral:lncRNA from 1 species
CUGUUUUUUUUUUUUAAGGUGGUCUGCCUUUUGACAUGCGUGCAGUGUCUACCAACAAGAUUGUAUAGUAUUAUCUUUUCUGUCCAGCCUCCUGCUUCAUUUAGAUGUUGCAAAAUAAUGUGUUUUCUUUGGGCAGCUUUUGUUUGGAGUGUCUGUGUAUGCACUUUCUCUUUUAGAAGUAAUUAUUUCCCCUUUACCACCACUCUGAAGUUCUGCUCUGCUGAGCCUUCAGGCUCACAGGAGUACAGAGACGCAGAGGACCUUUUGCAUAUCUUUAGUUUUGAGAACAUGCAAUGUUCCAUCUCUGAAAAAAGUUUGUAA